GGCUUCUUACUGCGGCUUCAUACUGAGGGCCGAGCCGAGGCGGCGCGGGUGCAGGAGCAGGACUUACGGCAGUGGGGGCUGACAGGGAUUCACCUACGCUCUUACCAGCUGGAGGGAGUAAACUGGCUCGCCCAGCGCUUCCAUUGUCAGAAUGGCUGUAUCCUGGGAGAUGAGAUGGGCCUGGGGAAGACCUGCCAGACUAUUGCUCUCUUCAUUUAUUUGGCAGGAAGAUUAAAUGAUGAAGGGCCAUUUCUGAUUCUUUGUCCCUUGUCUGUUUUGAGCAACUGGAAAGAAGAAAUGCAGAGAUUUGCUCCAGGUCUUUCCUGUGUAACAUAUGCAGGCGACAAGGAGGAAAGAGCCUGCCUUCAGCAAGACCUGAAACAGGAGUCACGUUUUCAUGUGCUACUGACUACCUAUGAGAUUUGCUUGAAAGAUGCAUCAUUUCUAAAAUCAUUCCCUUGGAGUGUUCUUGUUGUGGAUGAAGCUCACAGGUUGAAAAACCAAAGCUCCCUGCUGCAUAAGACCUUGUCAGAGGUAAACUUACAGUGUAGCCUUAGUUUUUACAUAACCCCUUCUUUUUAAAUAGACAUUAUAUUUUAGAGUAAUUUUAGAUUCACAACAAAAUUGAACAGAAACUACAGAUGUUUCCCAUGCAUAUGUCC
rnacentral:sRNA from 1 species